rnacentral:lncRNA from 1 species
AUUUCCACUGCUGCUCUCUCAUCUGCUGCUCUGAAGCCUAAACCAUGGUGCCCAGAAUCUUCGAUGCAACUCAUGAGAAGCUGGAGGACCUGGAGAAGCUGGCAACUCAAAAAGGCCAAAGGGUGCAGACAAUAAAAGCCCCAGACAAGCGUAUAGAACCACACGCCGUCUUUUUACUUGCCGCCCAGGGCGGCUCAUGGAGGAGACAGGGACUCUCCCCAGGUCGAAGGCCCAAGGCCUGGAUGAUGGGGUGGGGCCCAGGAUGGGUGCCAGGGGUCUGGAGGACAUGAGUGGAUGAAGGCCCCGGGCUUCAGCUUCCUCUUGGUGGAAUGUGGGUGAUGAGGUCCGACCAUGCAGCGCUGCUGUGAGGACCGGAUGAGAGGAUCCCUGGGAGGUGGCCGGUGACUUGGUACCGUCACCUCAGUGACUGUUCUUCGUCCUCAUGGAUGUUCAGAGAAGACUUGCCCACUCUCUCCACCAGAUACAACCAAUAAAACCUCUGAAAAUUUCAGCCGAACUUUAUAGCACUUUCAUUCUUUUCCAAUUUAUUUGACGCUAUUUAAAUCAGACCUAGUGAUUCUGGGAUGCCUGAGAUUCCUGUCCCUUAGAAGGGACGUCAGGUGCCUUCUGUGCGCACACGUGGCAUUUGGGCGGGAACCCAGAGCCCCGACUCUGGGCUUGUUGGACUGAGAUCCAAG